rnacentral:lncRNA from 1 species
GCCAGCUUCCCCGUGGGCUUUGAAGAUGCAAACUCCAAUCCUAUCAGUACGGGUUGGUUUCUGCCUGCUCCCGGUGCUUUAAAAGUAUGACUGGGGAGAAGGAAGCGCGUGAGGGUGGCUGUCAUGCCGUGGUCCUGCUGGCUGCUGGCUGCUGCUCUUUGCCAUGGCAACAGUUGUGUUGUCUUUAUUGCUUUCAAUCUUUUCACAUUCUUGCUGUGCUUCCUCUUGAUUUGCUGACACAGGCUGUCACUUAGCAGUAAUAAAGCUGUCAAUGGUAUCAGCGACCAAUCUUUUAAUAUGGUAUCAGAAAGUCUGACAAGAGCAUAGGGGUGCCGGAUUUCCAAUGACAAGUUAAUUUAUUCAAAGCACUCUGAACAUUAUUUCCAUUCCUAUGGCACGCAAAUGAUGCCCAGCAAGGCUGGUGUCUGCUGGAUGGGAUGCAGACGGCGGAAGAAUUUGGCACGCGGUGAUCCUGUAGGUAUUCCAUGGGCUGAAAGCAGAAUUAACUCACUAGUGCGAGGGGAAGAUGCAGAUCCAUGCCCUUGUAUCCUCUCAGAGAUCUCCCCUAUUGCCAGAGGAAAAGCUCCAGCUGUAGUGCAGAGGCCUGGCAUCACUUUACCUCUUGGAGCACAUUAGAUUGUGUGAGAGGAUCAGCAUUGCUUCUGGUGGUGGUUUAAUUAUGGACAUUUGAGAAGCACAGUUUUCUGACUGCUUUGACCAAUCAUAAAGUCAGCACUUCAAAGAAAGAUCUUCAGAUACUAGAUGUAACCUUUUCAUCUCAGCACAGCAAAGCCAAGGAAUCGGGAUACGAGACAGCUCCUGAAGCUAGGUGCUCACCCCGGGUCUCUCCAGAUGAAUAUCCAGCCAGUGGCUUUUAACUUUGCCUCACAAUUUCCAGUUGAAGGACUGCGCUCUGGCAGUGACCGCAGGAAAAUCUUCACUGCAGAGAAGCCCAAAAUAAGCAACCUUAUGA